UCUGUUUUGAUGAUUUUAUUUAAACUACAAUACACAAAAAGUCACAAUAACUAUUCAGCAUUUCCUUAACACAUGAAAGUUAAGUACAAACACUUGGUAACUAAUACCCUGCAUCCAGUUAUAACCCUAGAUCUUCAUUUAAAUUACAUUACAGAACACUAAACAGAAAAAAAAAGAAAAAAAAAGGAGAAUGUCAUUUUAAAUUGCUCAGACUUUCACACAUGGAAGUCAUACAGUUUUGCUAAUCAUU